AAUAAAAUGAAUAGAGAAUUCUAACAUUUUCUUAGUGACAAGAAAGUGAGGAAUUGUAUGACAGAAAACAAGGUGUCAUUGAUAAUUCAAUGAACACAUACCAAUGCCUCGGAUGACAUAAGUCAUUAGGAAUUUUGAUUUGUUUGGAAAAUAAGUUCAGGAGAGAGAUUAGUGAUAGAUAAUCACAAAAAACAACAACAUUAGAGUGUAGAAACAGGUGGGAAACCUGGGAGACAGUGGGGGAAGGGGUGACUUAUGUACCUGUAACCCCUCUGUACAUCACCUUUAUGAUAACAAUAAAAAAUUUAAAAAUUAGAUACCUAUGUAACACAAAUUACUCUUGUAAGUGUUUACAUGUACUAGUUCAUUAACUAUAAUAACCACUCUGUUCUUAUUUUCAUAUUACAACCAGAACAAAAAUACGUAAUUUACCAAAGUUAUGUAAUAGUAAGAGAAUAUAAUUCAGCUAGUAGAAAUGGGUUCUAGAGGCAAGAAGUUGCUGAUUCACAAAGGACUACACGUGCAUAAUUUAACAAUUUGGAUAAGCAACAGGAGUAGUUAUAUGAUUCUGUUCAUGUUUCAGAAUGUUUUCUUGUACUAUUUUUAUAUCUCCAAUAAUAAAUGAAAAUAUGUGUGUGUGUGUGUGUGUGUGUGUGUGUGUGUGUGUGUGUGU